rnacentral:rRNA from 1 species
UACGUAGGGUGCAAGCGUUAAUCGGAAUUACUGGGCGUAAGCGUGCGCAGGCGGUUCUAUAAGACAGAUGUGAAAUCCCCGGGCUCAACCUGGGAACUGCAUUUGUGACUGUAGAGCUGGAGUACGGCAGAGGGGGAUGGAAUUCCGCGUGUAGCAGUGAAAUGCGUAGAUAUGCGGAGGAACACCGAUGGCGAAGGCAAUCCCCUGGGCCUGUACUGACGCUCAUGCACGAAAGCGUGGGAGCAAACAGG